UCGGGCUGACAGGAUUUGAACCUGCGACAUUCUGCUCCCAAAGCAGACGCGCUACCAAGCUGCGCCACAGCCCG
rnacentral:tRNA from 1 species